GCGGGCAUCGUAUAAUGGCUAUUACCUCAGCCUUCCAAGCGGAUGAUGCGGGUUCGAUUCCCGCUGCCCGCUCCA
rnacentral:tRNA from 1 species